GGCUUGACGUUUUGGAAACACUGGGUCUUGAAUACCCACUUUAGAUGUUCAAAUCAUCUUCAA
rnacentral:tRNA from 1 species